GACGAACGCUGGCGGCGUGCUUAACACAUGCAAGUCGAACGGAAAGGCCCUGCUUUUGUGGGGUGCUCGAGUGGCGAAAGGGUGAGUAACACGUGAGUAACCUGCCCUUGUCUUUGGGAUACCUUCAGGAAACUGGGGCUAAUACCGGAUAGGAGCUCCUGCUGCAUGGUGGGGGUUGGAAAGUUUCGGCGGUUGGGCAUGGACUGGCGGCUUAGCAGCUUGUUGGGGGGGUAGUGGCUUACCAAGGCUUUGACGGGUAGCCGGCCUGGGAGGGUGACCGGCCACAUGGGGACUGAGAUAGGGCCCAGACUGCUACGGGAGGCAGCAGUGGGGAAUUGUGCACAAUGGGCGGAAGCCUGAUGCAGCAACGCCGCGUGCGGGAUGACGGCCUUCGGGUUGUAAACCGCUUUCGCCUGUGACGAAGCGUGAGUGACGGUAAUGGGUAAAGAAGCACCGGCUAACUACGUG
rnacentral:rRNA from 1 species